AUCUUCCAAAACCAUGCUCCACUUCCAACUCAGCACCACACUGUUGCUGGCAACAAUAUGUUUGAUCCAGACAACAGUCUCCAUGGAGACAGUCAUCACCUGUGACAAUGGCAGUAAUGUCCAACGCUUGAGAUGCGAUACCGGAGUGGUCCGUGUGGACGCAGCCCUGUACGG